UACAGAGGGGGCAAGCGUUGUUCGGAAUUACUGGGCGUAAAGGGCGCGUAGGCGGCCACCUAAGUCAGACGUGAAAUCCCUCGGCUCAACCGGGGAACUGCGUCUGAUACUGGGUGGCUUGAAUCCGGGAGAGGAAUGCGGAAUUCCAGGUGUAGCGGUGAAAUGCGUAGAUAUCUGGAGGAACACCGGUGGCGAAGGCGGCAUUCUGGACCGGCAUUGAUGCUGAGGCGCGAAAGCCAGGGGAGCAAACGGG
rnacentral:rRNA from 1 species